rnacentral:sRNA from 12 species
AAUUUCAACCAAUCUUUUAAAUAACUUGGUGAAGAUAGGUUGACACCUUGCCAAGGUUGCAUGCGUAAAUCUCGUCUUGUUUGAUAUGGGAUACUGUAUCAGGAUAAGAGAUCAUCAAUUAGGUGACUGAGAGAUGUUGCGAUAUGAGAGAGUAGCAAGAGUGCAUGCAACGUGGAGAUUAUACGUACCUAGACCAACAUCAAACGGUGGCGGCGAUAAUAGACGCUCUCAGUGAGAGAAUAAUCUAGCGAGGCCUUGCGUAGCAGCAAGAACUGACCUAGAAUAGCUAAAAUAAGCCGUUAUGCGCUACAGUAGGCUAUCAGCCUAUGAUGACACCAAAGAUGUGUACAAGUAGCCCAAAUGCGCAGAUAAAAUCAGACCAAUAUGCUAAAUUGAUUAUCUGAAUGUCGGGUGAAAGUUGGAGGUAACCAGUCCUGCCUAGCCAUCAAAACGCUAAAGAAGUUAGUGGGUAGCUCCUGCUGGCUCAGACUUUAGUCGGCUAUCGGUUAAUAAGUUGCGUAUGUUUGAAGCAGAGCGAAGGUUCGUUUAGAAGAUUGAUUGAAA